rnacentral:lncRNA from 1 species
AUGGCUUGAUAUGCUCUCUUCUCAAUUUAUCGCCACUCCGCAAGUCGAUGCCUCUCAGCUUGGCUAUGUUUAGAACACAGGCUAGAUGAAGAUAAGAUUAUGGAGUCAUCAAAUGGCAGCCUGUGAGAGGUGACAUAGGACCUUGCAGAUCCUCUUGCCAAACCUUCAGAUAUCGAUGAGCCUCAGAGAGACUUGCUCAUUUGCCGCCAAGCCAGAUCUGCUGACUCCAGGACCACAGCUGGAGUCAGGAGCUUUGACCUCUGUGAAGCCAUCCAGCCCACCCCAUAAGGAUUCUCCCUAUGGUGUUAUUGAACCCUUCAUUUUAACCUUCAUGAAGCUGGUGUUUUAGGUAUUUGGGAAGUCAGUUGGAGCAGCAGAAAUGGCAGAGUUUGCAGCUGAGAUGGCCUCUCAUGACUGAGUUUUUUCCCAAAAUGAUGUUGAAUUCCCUAGAUUUAUCCUAAUGGAGAUUCGUGCUCUCCUCAGAUGCUGAAACUGGCCCAGAAGUAACAAGUACAUAUUUGGCCCCAAAUCAUAUUAGUGGUUAGUGGCAGUGCUGGAUUGAGACAAGAACUUUUACUUUCAGCGUCUCUCUACCACCCUGGAACUGUAUUAUAUGGUAACUACUACCAGCACAACCACAAUAAAUAUUUACUGAGUACAGGACAAAGGACUUUAUAUGCAUUAUUUCAUUUAACACAAGUUCAAAAAUGGUGAUCUUCAUGGUGUGGUACUAAGGCCAGCAGUU